rnacentral:lncRNA from 1 species
ACGUGCACCGAUCAGCAACCUUGUCUUUCGCUGUAGCAUGCAAGGUCCUUUUCCUCGUGCCUGUGUGUUUCUGCAGGAAACACAGCAAAAACAAAUAUGCGGCCCUGUAGAAAGAGAAACUAGUGUGCGCGGACACCAGAGCAUAGACGACCUAUAAAAAUUCCAUCUCACCAAUAACAUUGCAGCAAGUGAACUCUGCAGCCAGUGCUCAAUGUUCAGGCAAAUGGAUACACGAUUAAGCGUCUUGCGUUGAUGUACACCAGCUACUAUUUCAAUAUUCAUGGAGAAAGAAUACUGAAUAUAGUACAGGCUUUGGUUACAGAGUGCGAACAUAGGCGCCAAUUGCUUCGAUG